rnacentral:rRNA from 1 species
GGCGGCGUACUUAACACAUGCAAGUCGAACGAUGAAGCCUAGCUUGCUAGGUGGAUUAGUGGCGAACGGGUGAGUAAUACGUGAGUAACCUACCUUUAACUCUGGGAUAAGCCUGGGAAACUGGGUCUAAUACCGGAUACGACCAAUCUCCGCAUGGGGUGUUGGUGGAAAGCGUUAUGUAGUGGUUAUAGAUGGGCUCACGGCCUAUCAGCUUGUUGGUGAGGUAACGGCUCACCAAGGCGACGACGGGUAGCCGGCCUGAGAGGGUGACCGGCCACACUGGGACUGAGACACGGCCCAGACUCCUACGGGAGGCAGCAGUGGGGAAUAUUGCACAAUGGGCGCAAGCCUGAUGCAGCGACGCCGCGUGAGGGAUGACGGCCUUCGGGUUGUAAACCUCUGUUAGCAGGGAAGAAGAGAGAUUGACGGUACCUGCAGAGAAAGCGCCGGCUAACUACGUGCCAGCAGCCGCGGUAAUACGUAGGGCGCGAGCGUUGUCCGGAAUUAUUGGGCGUAAAGAGCUUGUAGGCGGUUUGUCGCGUCUGCUGUGAAAGGCCGGGGCUUAACUCCGUGUAUUGCAGUGGGUACGGGCAGACUAGAGUGCAGUAGGGGAGACUGGAAUUCCUGGUGUAGCGGUGGAAUGCGCAGAUAUCAGGAGGAACACCGAUGGCGAAGGCAGGUCUCUGGGCUGUAACUGACGCUGAGAAGCGAAAGCAUGGGGAGCGAACAGGAUUAGAUACCCUGGUAGUCCAUGCUGUAAACGUUGGGCACUAGGUGUGGGGGGACAUUCCACGUUUUCCGCGCGGUAGCUAACGCAUUAAAGUGCCCCGCCUGGGGAGUACGGCCGCAAGGCUAAAACUCAAAGAAAUUGACGGGGGCCCGCACAAGCGGCGGAGCAUGCGGAUUAAUUCGAUGCAACGCGAAGAACCUUACCAAGGCUUGACAUAUACUGGACCGCAUCAGAGAUGGUGUUUCCCUUCGGGGCUGGUAUACAGGUGGUGCAUGGUUGUCGUCAGCUCGUGUCGUGAGAUGUUGGGUUAAGUCCCGCAACGAGCGCAACCCUCGUUCUAUGUUGCCAGCACGUUAUGGUGGGGACUCAUAGGAGACUGCCGGGGUCAACUCGGAGGAAGGUGGGGAUGACGUCAAAUCAUCAUGCCCCUUAUGUCUUGGGCUUCACGCAUGCUACAAUGGCCGGUACAGAGGGUUGCGAUACUGUGAGGUGGAGCUAAUCCCUAAAAGCCGGUCUCAGUUCGGAUUGGGGUCUGCAACUCGACCCCAUGAAGUCGGAGUCGCUAGUAAUCGCAGAUCAGCAACGCUGCGGUGAAUACGUUCCCGGGCCUUGUACACACCGCCCGUCAAGUCACGAAAGUUGGUAACACCCAAAGCCGGUGGCCUAACCCUUUUGGGAGGGAGCCGUCUAAGGUGGGAUUGGCGAUUGGGACUAAGUCGUA